AGCCCUAAGCUAAUUUGCAAUAAUCGUAUAUUGAACCUAUUAGCCAGGGAAUCCAAUAAAGAGCAUACGACCCUGUGGGUGCUGCCAUCCCCUUCUACACCCACACUUCAACGGACUGAGAAGGGGGUGUGGUCAAUGGGCGGCAUCGAAGUCUCCAUGGAAUGGCACAACACGCGAACGGCGAGCAUGCAAGAGGCAACGAUACAAAACGCUAGCGCAGCGGUGACGAAAACGCUGAAAACAACAACUACAUCUACAACUGCAAAAGCCGACAGCAAGUUGAAUGACAUAAACCAUCAACUGACCUUCAACUCUGAGACUGAACCUUAGAAAAAACGAACACAUAGCCUCAUGCAAAUGGGAAUGCGAGAGUGGCGCAUGCAACUUACAGCUUUAUAGCUCGUUCGUUGAGGGAAAGAGAUGUCGGCUAGUGCACACCACCCCCCUAUCCAACACACCCAUAGCCCCUGUAAUGGGCUGCAGCAGAGGAAGUCAGCGGACAAUUGCGCAUGAUACGCUCCAGAUUCUAGAGGUGGGAGAGUGAAGAGCGAUGAGUCACGACGAACGGAUCGAAAGGUGAUCCCAUAAUGUACCAUUGGCAAUGUUAGAGUAAAAACUUCAAUAGAUUCGGACAUGGCCAAAUCGACGCGGCUAGUGAUCAUGAUCCAGAAUAUAUGUAUAUACUUUGUACAAUGCUCGGAAGCCCUUUCUUCUAUCUACGCUUCUAACCAAUCUCAGAAGAAGCCGCUUAACUACUCAUCUCGCUAGAACUAUUAUUGGCAAUUCAAAAUUUUUUUUUUUAAGCUGAUCAAUAUCUUGAACAGGGGUCGAUCUAGCUAUGUCGGUUCGUCCGAAUGUAUAUAUCGUGCAUCGUGUUUCAAAAUUUGCUCCUGCCUCUCUUAUUUGCACUUUUUUCUUUACAUUUUUAAGUUGAAAGUGAUAU
ensembl:ncRNA lncRNA:CR43904 long non-coding RNA:CR43904